rnacentral:lncRNA from 1 species
GGCGGACACAACAUCUUUGUAUGUAUGUGGUGCUGAGGAUCGAACCUGGGCCACACGCAUGCCAGGCGAGUGCGCUACCGCUUAAGCCACAUCCCCAACCCUAUGGGUCCAUUUUUAUGGGAAAAUUUGAACUAUCCUCCUUCUCUUUCCUUUUAUUGGUGCGUACUAGGGAUUGAACCCUGGGGCACUUAACCACUGAGCUACAUCUCCAGCCCUUUUUAUGUUUUAUUUUGAGACCGGGUCUCACUAUGUUUAUGUGGCUGGCCUCAAAUUUGUGAUCCUUCUGCCUCAGCCUCCAAGUUGCUUGGAUUAAAGGCGUGUGCCACGCUGCCCAUCCUAUGAACCAUCCUUUUAGUAAAAUAUCAUGUAAAUGACUAAUGUACUUUUAAAAUAUCGACUUUGAGUAUAGUUUACAUUUAAUAAAUAUACUCAUCUUAAGUAUAUAGUUCAAGGCUUUAAAAAAAAGCUACAGGAGAUUGAUCCUGGGGUCUUCUGUAUCAUCAAGUUACAGGUCAUCAACUUCCCAUCCCCCCUCAACAAGUUUUCAUGGCUGACCUUGAGCCUCAGCCUCCCGAAUGUCUAGGUUUAUGAGUGUGCACUACCACUCCUGGCUGAUAGUUCAAGUUUUAACAAAUGUAUAUACUUUUUAAUUUUUGCCACAAU